rnacentral:rRNA from 1 species
GAGUUUGAUCAUGGCUCAGAGCGAACGUUAGCGGCGCGCCUAACACAUGCAAGUCGCACGGAGUAGCAAUACUCAGUGGCGCACGGGUGCGUAACACGUAGAUAAUCUGCCCUUCAGCGGGGGAGUAACGUUCCGAAAGGAGCGCUAAUACCGCAUACAGCGUCGAGUGGUUCGCCAUUUGACGGCAAGGGCUGGGAUCGCAAGACCAGUCACUGAAGGAGGAGUCUGCGGCCCAUCAGCUAGUUGGGGAGGUAAUGGCUCACCAAGGCAAAGACGGGUAGCUGGUCUGAGAGGAUGAUCAGCCACACUGGUACUGGAACACGGACCAGACUCCUACGGGAGGCAGCAGUGGGGAAUCUUGGUCAAUGGGCGCAAGCCUGAACCAGCGACGCCGCGUGAGGGAUGACGGCC